GUUCCAGUGGUGUAGUCCGGUCAAGCAUACUGCCCUUUCAAGGCAGUGAUCCCGGGUUCAAAUCCCGGCUGGAGCACCA
rnacentral:tRNA from 5 species